rnacentral:rRNA from 1 species
GUGCCAGCAGCGGCGGUAAGACGUAGGGGCGAGCGUUGUCCGGAUUUAUUGGGCGUAAAGAGCUCGUAGGUGGCUUGUCGCGUCGGUUGUGAAAACCUGCAGCUUAACUGUGGGCGUGCAGCCGAUACGGGCGGGCUAGAGGCAGGUAGGGGAGAGUGGAACUCCUGGUGUAGCGGUGAAAUGCGCAGAUAUCAGGAAGAACACCGGUGGCGAAGGCGGCUCUCUGGACCUGUUCUGACGCUGAGGAGCGAAAGCAUGGGAGCGAACAGGA